GAUGAACGCUAGCGGCAGGCCUAAUACAUGCAAGUCGGACGGGAUAGAAGAGCUUGCUUUUCUUGAGAGUGGCGCACGGGUGCGUAACACGUAUGUAACCUACCUUUAUCAGGGGGAUAGCCUCUCGAAAGAGAGAUUAAGCCCGCAUAAUAUGAAGACACAGCAUUGUGAUUUCAUCAAAUAUUUAUAGGAUAAAGAUGGGCAUGCGGAACAUAGCUAGUUAGGUAAGGUAAUGGCUUACCAAGGCUACGAUGUUUAGGGGAUCGUGAGAGGAUCGGCCCCCCANACUGGUAC
rnacentral:rRNA from 1 species